GGAGGCGUACGUGUCCUGGUGGGCGCCCUGGUCUUCAAAACCGGUGAGGCCGAGCAUCUCGGUCUGGCAGGUUCGAUUCCUGUCCGUCUCCGCCA
rnacentral:tRNA from 1 species